GCCAACUCUUCAUUUAAAAACGCAAUGUGUCGAAAACAAACACUAGAGGCUUUUUCAUAAUGAUGAACAGUGGCUGAAGCGGUCUUAGCUUCAAGUUUCUGGAAAUCAUUUAGCAAUAUCCUCACACCGUUCCCAAAUAUAGUUUUUUUUUUCCUGAGUAGGCUGAAAGAUUUUUUUU